rnacentral:tRNA from 1 species
ACCUCGGUGUUGUAGUGGUCAAGAGGCUCGCCUGGUAAACAGGAGGGCGUGGGUUCAAUCCCAGCCGAGGUA